UACAGAGGGUGCAAGCGUUGCUCGGAAUCAUUGGGCGUAAAGGGCAGGUAGGUGGUCUCGUUUGUCUGGGGUGAAAGCCCAGGGCUUAACCCUGGAAGUGCCCCGGAAACGGCGAGACUGGAGUCUUGGAGAGGGUCGUGGAAUUCCCGGUGUAGCGGUGAAAUGCGUAGAGAUCGGGAGGAACACCAGAGGCGAAGGCGGCGACCUGGACGAGUACUGACACUCAACUGCGAAAGCAUGGGGAGCAAACAGG
rnacentral:rRNA from 1 species